ensembl:lncRNA
AGUUCAACCAGCCGCCGAGGAGUUUGUAUAAGGAAAAACGACCAACUAUUCUACAAGUUCAGCCCUCCGUAGCUUUCUUCCAUUCCUGCUCCCUAUUGGCUGCUGUCCUCAGAGGGUGGAUAUAAGUAUGGGGUAAAAGGGCUUAGAAGAGAUAACAAGACAACACAAGCGGAGGAGUCCUACUCACCUGCACACAGGUGGU